AUCUGGUUGAUCUGCCAGUAGUCAUACGCUCGUCUCAAAGAUUAAGCCAUGCAUGUGUAAGUAUAAAUAGUUACUUGAACUGCGAAUGGCUCAUAUAUCAGUUAUAGUUAUUGAUGAAGAAUACUAUUGGAUACCGUAGUAAUUCUAGAGCUAAUACAUGUAUAAAGUCUGUAGACUGCAUUUAUUAGAAUGAAAACCAUAGGUUUCGGCCUAUUCGUGAGUAAUAAUAACUAAUCAUAUCGUAUGCUUAUGUAACGAUGUGUCUUUCAAGUUUCUGCCCUAUCAGCUUUCGAUGGUAGUGUAUUGGACUACCAUGGCAGUAACGGGUAACGUAGAAUUUGGGUUCGAUCUCGGAGAGGGAGCCUGAGAGAUGGAUUCCACCUCCAAGGAAGGCAGCAGGCGCGUAAAUUACCCAAUCCUGACACAGGGAGGUAGAGUCAAUAAAUCACAAUGCGGAACAAUGUUAGCAAUAGGAUUGAGAACAACGUACAAACCUUAUCGAUAAACAAUGGAGGGCAAGUCUGGUGCCAGCAGCCGCGGUAUCCAGUCCAUUCG
rnacentral:rRNA from 1 species